rfam:Vibrio sp. J237 Contig_12, whole genome shotgun sequence.
AAAGUUAUCGUCUUCUGCCGAUAACAAGGCAUUGAUGAAGUCAGUCGGGAUUUCAGCAAAGGUGAUAGGCGAACGACGCAUCUCGCCAAACUCGGCAAUCAGCUUGCCGUCGCUGCUGAAAAUCCGCAGAGGAAUUUGCAGUUGAAUGCUGCGUAGCGAGUCAACUGAAGGAAGGCUCGGGCUUAGAUAGAGGAACGCACCGCUCAAACUGAGUACCAGUCCACAGGAAAUGGCAACGCAUGACCAGCAAAAGAAUUUCAGCAAGCGCAUCAAAAUGUUUAGAUUUCCAGAUAA